CUUCCAGCCGGCGAGGUACAUGUACUCGUCGACUGGAAGGACACCCUUCCAGCCGGCGAGGUACAUGUACCUCGUCGACUGGAAG
rnacentral:miRNA from 1 species